CAAAGUCAACACUUUCCCCUUAUAUGUGAAAUACUAUAUCUAUAGAAAAUCCAAAAUUUGUCUAAGUCUGGCCGGACUCAGAACAGAUGCAAUUUUCCAAGACAAGUACCUCAACCAAGAGUCGAAAAUGCGUGACAUAGGGCAACGAAAAGGGCCUAAACGAGAAAGAAACGAAAACUCGACAGACGAUGUCUCAAAAUUAAAUUUUGUGCAAAAGUUUAGUUACGAUAUAUCUAGAUAAAAAAAAUUAUAGUGUAUGUAUAGAAGUUCGUUCAUAAAAUGCAUGUAAAAGUCACUAUGUUUUUAUAGUAUAUGUAUAAAAUCAAAAAAACAAAUAUUAGGUACUUAUUAAAUAUUUGAAAAUACGUGUAAUGUAUCCAACAUUCAAAAUAUUACAAAAAGUAGUCAAAAUAUUCUUUAAAGUGAACGAAAAUUGCAUCAAAAGUUACUAUUCUUAUAUAUAUAAAAAAAAAA
rnacentral:lncRNA from 1 species